rnacentral:lncRNA from 1 species
GCCGUCGGAGGUUUGCCCGGAAGCGGUGAAAGGGACUGGAGGAAAUUCCCUGAAAGUCACUUGAGCAAAGUGGAAAAUUGAGACUGGAUUGUAGUGAGGAAUCAACGGUGAUUUUUCAAACAGUGGCUUCAAUGCCAGAGGACUACGUUGGCCGGGCGAGGUGUCCCCGCAUUCGGAGACCUGGGAAUGCUGUUCCGUCGCACUCAAUGCACGUGACUGCGUAUGGGACCAGGCUUCCCGUGCUGCUUGGGCGCUGCCUGACAGCUGCCACCUCCUCGCAGCCGUGACCCAGCAAACUGCUCGGACUGAACAAGUGGAAAGAAG